rnacentral:rRNA from 1 species
GCCGCGUGAGUGAUGAAGGCCUUUGGGUUGUAAAGCUCUUUCGCAGGGAGAAAAUGACGGUACCUAUAAAAGAAAGCCCGGCCAACUUCGUGCCAGCAGCC